GAUGAACGCUGGCGGCGUGCUUAACACAUGCAAGUCGAACGGAAGGGCUCCUGCUUGCAGGGGUACUCGAGUGGCGAACGGGUGAGUAACACGUGGGUGAUCUGCCCUGCACUUCGGGAUAAGCUUGGGAAACUGGGUCUAAUACCGGAUAGGACCGCAUUUUGGAUGGUGUGGUGGAAAGGUUUUUCGGUGUGGGAUGAGCUCGCGGCCUAUCAGCUUGUUGGUGGGGUAAUGGCCUACCAAGGCGUCGACGGGUAGCCGGCCUGAGAGGGUGUACGGCCACAUUGGGACUGAGAUACGGCCCAGACUCCUACGGGAGGCAGCAGUGGGGAAUAUUGCACAAUGGGCGCAAGCCUGAUGCAGCGACGCCGCGUGGGGGAUGACGGCCUUCGGGUUGUAAACUCCUUUCGCUAGGGACGAAGAGUAAUUGACGGUACCUGGAGAAGAAGCACCGGCUAACUACGUG
rnacentral:rRNA from 1 species